UUAAGUUCAGCGGGUAUCCCCACCUGAUCCGAGGCCAACCUUGUGAGUUUGAGGUCGAGGCGGCCGCCGGCCGGGGUCCCGAGCGAGGGUUUUGCUACGCUCAGGGCCGGCCGUCGGCGCCCACGUGUUUCGGGGCCGCCCGCGGGCGGUCCCCAUCACAAGCGAAGCUUGAGGGUUGAAAUGGCGCUCGGACAGGUGUG
rnacentral:misc_RNA from 1 species